UGGUCUGACAUCAAUUUAUGUUAAUUGGGAAUAACUCGCUUUGUAUUUAUACCCAACUGAAAGGGCCGCGAGACAAGCGUUUGGGCAGCUCCCUGUUUAUGCAAGAAAAUUCUAAAAUGAGGCUUAAACCAAACAGGGAUGUUGUUUUACUUUUCUGUCUUGGCUUUCUUUGUUGCAGCCAAAUAUGCUGUGUAAGCCUCGAAAUCACGCGAAGACAAGAGAGACACGGAGAGGAAAAAACCGAUGAUGUUCGAGUGGGUACCAUUAUGUUCGGCAGAGAUAUUUCUGAUUUUGGCCCAGUGAAAAAUGAGGAUGGCUUUAACAUCCAAGCCGACGCUGCUGAGCUGGUUGGUGGACAAGAUGUCAUUGAUGACUCCAGUUCUUCUAAGGCAGCCUGGGCUAGUAUGCGACCAACUGUGUUAUGUACUAAGGACCUCAUGAAGUUAUCGGCACAAGGCCCAGGAUCCUCUUCACUUCAGCUAGACAGAGCAGGAGGAACACCGCUCAAGCUAAACCAGCUGCCGCAGGACUGUGGCUACUCUGUGUACAGGACCGUACUGGGCUUUGUGUUUCUCAUCACCUAUGAUGGUUGUGAUGUUAUAAAUCAGGGUGGCAACCAUUUGCUCCAGAUGUUAUGGCAAGGCAAUCCAGUAACCCUUUCUUGCCCUAUGUCAACCCAAGCCUCUCAAUCUCCUAUGGAUCGACCACUUAUCCAUCCAUCAGCUCCCACUACUGAAGCUCCAUCUACUGGGAUACAACCCAGGAUGCAAAACCCAGGAUCCACUGCCUCUAAGCUUCCCCCACAAGAUCAGCAGCAGCAGCAGCAACAGUUGAUACAACAGUUGAUGCAGCAGCA